rnacentral:rRNA from 1 species
GGAUUAGAUACCCUGGUAGUCCACACUGUAAACGAUGAGUGCUAGGUAUUGGAUUUUAAUUCAGUGCCGUAGCUAACGCGUUAAGCACUCCGCCUGGGGACUACGGUCGCAAGACUAAAACUCAAAGGAAUUGACGGGGGCCCGCACAAGCGGUGGAGCAUGUGGUUUAAUUCGAUGCUACGCGAAAAACCUUACCAACCCUUGAAAUGGUAGAUCGCGGAACUCAGAGAUGAGUUUCUUCAGUUCGGCUGGAUCUAUCACAGGUGUUGCAUGGCUGUCGUCAGCUCGUGCCG